CCUGAGAAACCCGAAAGAUCGAAUGGGGAGAUUCAUCGUCAGCGAUAUUGGUACGUGUGCGGUUCGCGAUGUUGGAGAUUUCGAUCUCAUGGCACGCGUCCGUAUGUUUUUUAUUGCCUUUAUCGUCGGCGUGCACUUCUCCCCUAGUAGGACGUCGCGACCCGUUGGGUGUCGGUCUACGGCCCGGGUGGUAGCCUGUCUCGUGUGCGCUUCACGGCGUUACGCGGGGCAGACCCCUGUGUGUCUGGCCGACUGCCCGGCGGUACUCGCACGGUAUCUGGCCGCAAAUAUUCGAACUGCGUCCGGCCCGUCGCAAGCGAGGCAAGUGUUUCCCGGCUGUACGGAUCCAAUGCCGUCACCGGGCCUUGCCAGCUGUUGGCUGACGGUGUCCUAGGACUGGCCAAUAUAAUUAUGAUACCGGUCGGCGACGCUACUGCUUUGGGUACUUUCAGGA
rnacentral:rRNA from 1 species